AGGAAGUACCCUGUCUGACCAUUUCUCGGCCUUCUUGAAUAUCUCUAUCCAAAACAGGGGAUCUCUGCUGUUACGUGACACUUCCUACGGCUCCCAUGGGCUCUCAGAAGGCGGCAAAAAGCUGAAUCGUGGCUUUGCAGGCUCUGGCUGAAAAACAUUAGCGAGUUUGGAUAGUGGCCGGUCACAGUACUAUGAAACUGAGGCGCGUGCACGAGUCGACUCCAUGUUUACUUUCUUUCUCUUUGAACGAAAACCACCACUCCCGGUCGGAAUAUUAUCGCUUUUUUACGAGAAAAAUGGCAUAAAAAUUGAUUUUAAACAGCGGUUGACAUGCUUCGAAGUACGGUAAUGGAAUAUUUAGAAUUUUUUUGUCACGAAACGCGUCGGGCGCAUAACCCUUCGUCACCCUUAGAUAGUGUCUUGAACGCACGAACAAAACGCCGCUAUUUGGAUAUAACUAUGGAUUAUUUUGAACCAAACCAACAUUUGUUAUUGAUGUAGCAGUCCUGGGAGUGCAUUCUGACGAAGAACACCAAAGGUUAUGGCGAAGGUGACCACAGGUGGUGUCUAUAUGCAUAGAAGGGAUAAUUCGGCCGAGAACAGUGUGGACCUCAGACCCCCUCUGACUGGCUGAAGUAAUGGCAAAAAUGACAUUCAGUAUGGUCCUUCAUCACUUCUACCAUGAGACCUGAGUUUGAGCCAGAAACCUGUACACAGUAUCCAGUCAAAGCUAUCAACUGCCUUUUCUCUCAUGCCUUUUCUCUCAGAAGUGCAUCAGGAGUCCACGUGGAGUGAGCAUGGAGAGAGAUCCAUUCCAAACUUCUCUCAUGUUGCUGGUAUACUGGUUGGCAAAUGGACGAGACAUAAUGGGAGGUAGCGGUGGUGUCGGCCCAGGUGAGACAUUAGUCUGUUUGGAAAAAUCUGAUUGUUCCUCAGACUUUGAAAUUGGGACAUUAUCAUGGGCCAUCCACCAUUGGGAAGACCAACUGUGAAGCUAUCUGAAGAAGGAAAUGAAGAGACACCAGAAGAUUGAGUGCCUGGGACGGAGGGAGUUGGUCAACUGUGCCCGUAAAUGAUCCGGAUUUGAUACCCCAAAUAAACAAUUUUGGACAAGCUGAUCGUGGAGGUCUACACACUGCAAAAUGUAUAGUAAUUUAGACUAAGAAUGCAUUGAGAUACUGAUGAGCCGUGAUGACCGUGAUGAGAAAAUUAAUGCUGGAAUUAUGGAUAAUUAUACUGUGUGUUAAUGUAAAUGUACAUUCUGCUAGUGCCGAUGUGUGUUAAGUUGAGGGUUUUAACUUUGAGUGGUAGAACCAAUGUGAAUCACUGAGCAAUGUCAUUUUAAAUUUGGGUUGAAUAAUUGGGUUUUAAUUAUGAUUUGGAAACUGAAUGAUUUUUUGUAACUGACUAAUUGACUUGAGCAAUGUUUUUGUAUGUUUAUGACUAUAUAAGUAGGGAUCAAUUCAUGUGUUAUGGGUUAGAUUAAAUUAUUUAUGUGUAAAUGUAUUUGUGGAGAAGGAGAGCCCUGCUGGGCCAUGGUCGGGUCCGUUGUGUACUGAUGAAGCACAUACUCCUGUUUGUUUUACUUAUGUUGUUAACUAUUUGUUUUAAUGCUGCUUUAGUAUGAUUUUUCUUAAGUUUAGACAUGAGUCUCAAAAGCGGGGAGUGUAAGGGGAAAAAUCCUGUAUCAGCUCUUUAAGGUUGUAUAGCAGACACAAUGUAAUGAAGAAUUACUUUAAUCGUUUUUAAUGCUGAACUUUGUUAUGCACGUGGCUGUAUGAGCCUUAAACCUGUACAUGUCCACUGUCUGUUUAAAGGUCUUGUAAGAAGAAGCUGGUAAUUUACCACUCUGACUAUGUUUAACAUGGUCACAUGGCAUAAGACAAAGAGCCUCUGAGAGUGAUCACAGUGUCCUUCAGUCCAUGCUGUUCUUCUCAUAUAUUUCAAGGGCACAGCUGUGUUGAGGUAUGAGGUGAACAAAGGCUGGCUUGUCUGUCUGUCUGUCUGUCUGUCUGUCUGUCUGUCUGUCUGUCUGUCUGUCUGUCUGUCUGUCUGUCUGUCUGUCUGUCUGUCUGUCUGUCUGUCUGUCUGUCUGUCUGUGUGUCUGUGUGUCUGUCUGUGUCUUUUACCCAUUGCAGCUUUAUCACCAAGUUUAUUGCCUUGAAUGCAAUGUAUUGAUGUAUGCAUCAAUAUCCUAUCUGGAGAGCUGGGAGAGAGGAGAGUGAGGAGGGAGAGGGAGAGAGAUGAGAGAGGGAGAUGGUGAAGAAGGGGGGACGGAGGGAAGAGGAGAGAGAAAGAGGUAGGUUAUGUCAGGUGGGUUAUUUCCGUUUUGAAUAUAGUGAAGAAAAGCCUUGCCCUAUGUUCUCACUCAUCAGUCUCAAAAGAAAAAAUACACUUUGGCAGCAGCUCAGACUUUAUUUAACCUUUUUACAAAGCAUGUUGAGAUUUAUAACAGGAAAAUCAUGUUCCACUUUACAGCUAAUUUUUUGAAUCUUUGUAUUUAAUUAUUUGGAGCAAACCUUUUAAAACAAAAACACUG
rnacentral:lncRNA from 1 species